rnacentral:rRNA from 1 species
AUUGAACGCUGGCGGCAGGCUUAACACAUGCAAGUCGAGCGAGCGGCGGACGGGUGAGUAAUGCCUGGGAAACUGCCUUAUGGAGGGGGAUAACUACUGGAAACUGUCGCUAAUACCGCAUACCAUCAGAUGUGCCCAGCUGGGAUUAGCUAGUCGGUGGGGUAAUGGCGCACCUAGCCGACGAUCCCUAGCUGGUCUGAGAGGAUGACCAGCCACACUGGAACUGAGACACGGCCCGGACUCCUACGGGAGGCAGCAGUGGGGAAUAUUGCGCAAUGGGGGCAAGCCUGAUGCAGCCAUGCCGCGUGUGUGAAGAAGGCCUUCGGGUUGUAAAGCACUUUCAGUGAGGAGGCGUUAAUCGCAGAAGAAGCACCGGCUAACUCCGUGCCAGCAGCCGCGGUAAUAC